UGUAGAGGUUGGGUGAGAACUGGACGUAUUGAAUCAUUAUCAAGCAGACCCAUCCCCCGCAACGUCUAUCUGUAGAAGGAAAGGACAGUUUGCAUUUCCUUUCUCGAAGGUCACGGAGAUCAUUUCGUAAAACGUGUCAUGCGACGGCGGAGAGGUUGGGUGAGGACGACACGUUUUAUCUUCCUUUAUUUAAGGUCUUUAGUUAAUUAUAGUAUUCUGUUAGGUAAACAUUCGAACUUUCUUGGAAAUGUUUCGUUAAUUAAAAUAAUCGAACAGUAUCAUUUCCUAUGAUUUUGGUUGAAGGUCAUACGUAAAACUGUCCAGCGAUGGUGUAGACUGUAGAGGUUGGGUGAGAAUAACACGUGAUGCAUCAUUAUCAAGCAGACCCAUCCCGCAACGUCAACCUAAAGAAAGAAUGG